AGAGUUUGAUCCUGGCUCAGAACGAACGCUGGCGGCGCGUUUUAAGCAUGCAAGUCGAACGGGAUCUGAGGUGCUUGCACCUUGGUGAGAGUGGCGAACGGGUGAGUAACACGUAGGUGAUCUACCUCUAAGUUGGGGAUAGCCCAUGGAAACAUGGGGUAAUACCGAAUAUGCUCUUGCAUUGUGUUGCAAGAGGAAAGGAGCGUUUGCUUCGCUUGGGGAUGAGCCUGCGCAUGAUUAGCUAGUUGGUAAGGUAAUGGCUUACCAAGGCGACGAUCAUUAGCCGGCCUGAGAGGGUGACCGGCCACAUUGGGACUGAGACACGGCCCAGACUCCUACGGGAGGCAGCAGCUAAGAAUCUUCCGCAAUGGACGAAAGUCUGACGGAGCGACGCCGCGUGUGCGAAGAAUGUCGAGAGAUUGUAAAGCACUUUUAUACGUGAGGAAUAAUCAGAUCAGGAAAUGGGUUUGAGAUGACGUUAGCGUAUGAAUAAGCUCCGGCCAAUUACGCGCCAGCAGCCGCGGUAACACGUAAGGAGCGAGCGUUGUUCGGAAUUAUUGGGCGUAAAGGGCAUGUAGGCGGUUAAAUAAGUCUGAUGUGAAAGCACACAGCUCAACUGUGAUGUUGCGUUAGAAACUGUUUGACUUGAAUCCGAGAGGGGUAUGUGGAAUUCCUAGUGUAGGGGUGAAAUCUGUUGAUAUUAGGAAGAACACCAGAGGCGAAGGCGACAUACUGGCUCUGGAUUGACGCUGAGGUGCGAAAGCGUAGGUAGCGAACAGGAUUAGAUACCCUGGUAGUCUACGCCGUAAACGAUGUACACUUGGUGUCUGGGAUUUUGAUCCUAGGUGCCGUAGCUAACGCGUUAAGUGUACCGCCUGGGGAGUAUGCCGGCAACGGUGAAACUCAAAGGAAUUGACGGGGGCCCGCACAAGCGGUGGAGCAUGUGGUUUAAUUCGACGAUACGCGAGGAACCUUACCAGGGUUUGACAUAUACAGGACGCAGUUAGAGAUAGCUGUUUCUCUUCGGAGAUUUGUAUACAGGUGCUGCAUGGUUGUCGUCAGCUCGUGCCGUGAGGUGUUGGGUUAAGUCCCGCAACGAGCGCAACCCUUGUUGUCUGUUACCAUCAUUAAGUUGGGGACUCAGGCAAGACUGCCGGUGACAAACCGGAGGAAGGUGGGGAUGACGUCAAAUCAUCAUGG
rnacentral:rRNA from 1 species